GGAAAGGCAAGCCGACUGGUGACGGCACCUGUCCCGAAAACAGGCGAGUGGCGAGAGCUGCCUUGCGGGUCCGACUCCCGCCCUUUCCG
rnacentral:tRNA from 1 species